GUCCUUUAGAAUUUAAUUAUAGGUCUAACCUGCCCACUGAAUUUUAAAUGGCCGCAGUAAUUUGACUGUGCAAAGGUAGCAUAAUCAUUAGUUUUUUAAUUAAAAGCUUGUAUGAAAGGUUGGACGAAGUAAAAUCUGUCUCUAUUUAAUUUAAAUUAAAAUUUAACUUUUAAGUUAAAAGGCUUAAAUUUAAUUAAAAGACGAGAAGACCCUAUAGAUCUUUAUAAUUUAUUUAUUAAAUUUGAUUAGGAAUAUUUUUAAUUUUAUUAAUAAAAUUAUUUUAUUGGGGUAAUAUAAAGAUUAAAAUAAUUCUUUUUUUAUAUACACAUUUAUUUAUGUUUUUAAUGAUCCAGUUUUAUUGAUUAUAAGAUUAAGUUACCUUAGGGAUAACAGCGUAAUUUUUUUUGAGAGUUCUUAUCGAUAAAAAAGUUUGCGACCUCGAUGUUGGAUUAAAGAUUAUUUCAGGUGUAGAAGUUUGAAAAUUUUGGUCUGUUCGACCAUUAAAUCUUUACAUGAUCUGAGUUCAGACCGGUGUAAGCCAGGUCGGUUUCUAUCUUUAAUAAAUUAAAAUAUUUUAGUACGAAAGGACCAAUUAUUUAAUAUAAAAUAUUUAAAUUUUGAUUAUUAUUAA
rnacentral:rRNA from 1 species